rnacentral:rRNA from 1 species
UGUGUGUUAGUGGAAGCGUCUGGAAAGGCGCGCGAUACAGGGUGACAGCCCCGUACACAAAAAUGCACAUGCUGUGAGCUCGAUGAGUAGGGCGGGACACGUGGUAUCCUGUCUGAAUAUGGGGGGACCAUCCUCCAAGGCUAAAUACUCCUGACUGACCGAUAGUGAACCAGUACCGUGAGGGAAAGGCGAAAAGAACCCCGGCGAGGGGAGUGAAAAAGAACCUGAAACCGUGUACGUACAAGCAGUGGGAGCACGCUUAGGCGUGUGACUGCGUACCUUUUGUAUAAUGGGUCAGCGACUUAUAUUCUGUAGCAAGGUUAACCGAAUAGGGGAGCCGAAGGGAAACCGAGUCUUAACUGGGCGUUAAGUUGCAGGGUAUAGACCCGAAACCCGGUGAUCUAGCCAUGGGCAGGUUGAAGGUUGGGUAACACUAACUGGAGGACCGAACCGACUAAUGUUGAAAAAUUAGCGGAUGACUUGUGGCUGGGGGUGAAAGGCCAAUCAAACCGGGAGAUAGCUGGUUCUCCCCGAAAGCUAUUUAGGUAGCGCCUCGUGAAUUCAUCUCCGGGGGUAGAGCACUGUUUCGGCAAGGGGGUCAUCCCGACUUACCAACCCGAUGCAAACUGCGAAUACCGGAGAAUGUUAUCACGGGAGACACACGGCGGGUGCUAACGUCCGUCGUGAAGAGGGAAACAACCCAGACCGCCAGCUAAGGUCCCAAAGUCAUGGUUAAGUGGGAAACGAUGUGGGAAGGCCCAGACAGCCAGGAUGUUGGCUUAGAAGCAGCCAUCAUUUAAAGAAAGCGUAAUAGCUCACUGGUCGAGUCGGCCUGCGCGGAAGAUGUAACGGGGCUAAACCAUGCACCGAAGCUGCGGCAGCGACACUAUGUGUUGUUGGGUAGGGGAGCGUUCUGUAAGCCUGCGAAGGUGUGCUGUGAGGCAUGCUGGAGGUAUCAGAAGUGCGAAUGCUGACAUAAGUAACGAUAAAGCGGGUGAAAAGCCCGCUCGCCGGAAGACCAAGGGUUCCUGUCCAACGUUAAUCGGGGCAGGGUGAGUCGACCCCUAAGGCGAGGCCGAAAGGCGUAGUCGAUGGGAAACAGGUUAAUAUUCCUGUACUUGGUGUUACUGCGAAGGGGGGACGGAGAAGGCUAUGUUGGCCGGGCGACGGUUGUCCCGGUUUAAGCGUGUAGGCUGGUUUUCCAGGCAAAUCCGGAAAAUCAAGGCUGAGGCGUGAUGACGAGGCACUACGGUGCUGAAGCAACAAAUGCCCUGCUUCCAGGAAAAGCCUCUAAGCAUCAGGUAACAUCAAAUCGUACCCCAAACCGACACAGGUGGUCAGGUAGAGAAUACCAAGGCGCUUGAGAGAACUCGGGUGAAGGAACUAGGCAAAAUGGUGCCGUAACUUCGGGAGAAGGCACGCUGAUAUGUAGGUGAAGUCCCUUGCGGAUGGAGCUGAAAUCAGUCGAAGAUACCAGCUGGCUGCAACUGUUUAUUAAAAACACAGCACUGUGCAAACACGAAAGUGGACGUAUACGGUGUGACGCCUGCCCGGUGCCGGAAGGUUAAUUGAUGGGGUUAGCCGCAAGGCGAAGCUCUUGAUCGAAGCCCCGGUAAACGGCGGCCGUAACUAUAACGGUCCUAAGGUAGCGAAAUUCCUUGUCGGGUAAGUUCCGACCUGCACGAAUGGCGUAAUGAUGGCCAGGCUGUCUCCACCCGAGACUCAGUGAAAUUGAACUCGCUGUGAAGAUGCAGUGUACCCGCGGCAAGACGGAAAGACCCCGUGAACCUUUACUAUAGCUUGACACUGAACAUUGAGCCUUGAUGUGUAGGAUAGGUGGGAGGCUUUGAAGUGUGGACGCCAGUCUGCAUGGAGCCGACCUUGAAAUACCACCCUUUAAUGUUUGAUGUUCUAACGU